GCCGGUUUAGCUCUAAUGGUAGAGCGGUCGCCCUGUAAGCGAACGGGUAGCGGUUCAAAUCCGUUAACCGGCA
rnacentral:tRNA from 1 species